AGGGCCUGCUGUUUCCUAGGGGACAUUUUCAUCUGCAAUAGCCAGGCUGAAAACCAACAGCUGACAACAUCUGUCCAAACAGCACGAUCGCCAGUGCUCUCCAAUUCUACUCACCCCCCUUAUUUUGAUAACCAAUUUUAAUAAUUUAUGUGUAUUUUUAUGACCGAAAACCAAUAAAAUUUCCCCAUCA